rnacentral:rRNA from 1 species
UCAGGAUGAACGCUGGCGGCGUGCCUAAUACAUGCAAGUGAAACGGGUAUCUUCGGAUACCAGUCGCGGACGGGUGAGUAAUACAUAGGCAACCUGCCUUUAUGAGGGGGAUAACCGAGGGAAACUUUGGCUAAUACCGCAUGAAGACUCUAAGGCAUCUUAGAGGGAUAAAAGUUGGGAAACAACGCAUGAAGAUGGGCUUAUGGCGCAUUAGCUAGUUGGUGAGAUAGAAGCCCACCAAGGUAAUGAUGCGUAGCCGACCUGAGAGGGUGAACGGCCACAUUGGGACUGAGACACGGCCCAAACUCCUACGGGAGGCAGCAGUAGGGAAUUUUCGGCAAUGGGGGGAACCCUGACCGAGCAACGCCGCGUGAAGGAAGAAGGUUUUCGGAUUGUAAACUUCUGUUAUAAGGGAAGAACGGAUUGGAUAGGGAAUGAUCUGAUAGUGACGGUACCUUAUUAGAAAGCCACGGCUAACUACGUGCCAGCCGCGGC